CAAACAACUAGCCACUAACUCAAGACAUCAAUAAGUGAAUUCGGACAAACAACUUCCACUAAACUCAAGACAUCAAUAAGUGAAUUCGGACAAACAACUCCACUGAACUCAAGACAUCAAUAAGUGAAUUCGGACAAACAACUUCCACUAAACUCAAGACAUCAAUAAGUGAAUUCGGACAAACAACUUCCACUAAACUCAAGACAUCAAUAAGUGAAUUCAGACAAACAACUUCCACUAAACUCAAGACAUCAAUAAGUGAAUUCAGACAAACAACUUCCACUGAACUCAAGACAUCAAAUAAGUGAAUUCGGACAAACAACUUCCACUGAACUCAAGACAUCAAUAAGUGAAUUCGGACAAACAACUUCCACUAAACUCAAGACAUCAAUAAGUGAAUUCAGACAAACAACUUCCACUGAACUCAAGACAUCAGUAAAUGAAUUCAGACAAACAACUUCCACUGAACUCAAGACAUCAAUAAGUGAAUUCGGACAAACAACUUCCACUAAACUCAAGACAUCAAAUAAGUGAAUUCGGACAAACAACAACCACAGAACUCAAGACAUCAAUAAGUGAAUUCGGACAAACAACUUCCACUGAACUCAAGACAUCAAAUAAGUGAAUUCGGACAAACAACAACCACAGAACUCAAGACAUCAAUAAGUGAAUUCGGACAAACAACUUCCACUGAACUCAAGACAUCAAUAAGUGAAUUCGGACAAACAACUUCCACUAAACUCAAGACAUCAAUAAGUGAAUUCGGACAAACAACUUCCACUGAACUCAAGACAUCAAAUAAGUGAAUUCAGACAAACAACUUCCACUGAACUCAAGACAUCAAUAAAUGAAUUCAGACAAACAACUUCCACUGAACUCAAGACAUCAAUAAGUGAAUUCGGACAAACAACUUCCACUAAACUCAAGACAUCAAAUAAGUGAAUUCGGACAAACAACUACCACAGAACUCAAGACAUCAAUAAGUGAAUUCGGACAAACAACUUCCACUGAACUCAAGACAUCAAAUAAGUGAAUUCGGACAAACAACAACCACAGAACUCAAAACAUCAAUAAGUGAAUUCGGACAAACAACUUCCACUGAACUCAAAACAUCAAUAAGUGAAUUCGGACAAACAACUUCCACUGAACUCAAAACAUCAAUAAGUGAAUUCGGACAAACAACUUCCACUGAACUCAAGACAUCAAUAAGUGAAUUAAGACAAACAACAACCACAGAACUCAAGACAUCAAAUAAGUGAAUUAAGACAAACAACUACCACAGAACUCAAGACAUCAAAUAAGUGAAUUUGGACAAACAACUACCAUUGAAUAUGAAAUAAAUACAUUCAGAUCCAACAGAAAAACUUUCGAGUUUUCUAAGUUAGCGCAUAAGGAACAUCAAAAGCAGGUCACGAGGGGACGAGCUUGAUACACCGCUUAUACUGAGGUCGUUAACAUAGAUAUAUCAUAAUGAAGUGAAUCAGAUAGUAGCAUCAUGAACUUUAAAAUCUUUGUAAAAUGUAUUUCUUUGAAUCGCAUUACAAAACGGGUCACACUGGAAAAAAUUGUCUCGUGUCACACACACAAAAAUAGUUCGGCUUUAGUUUAAUAGUUUGCCUUUUUUUAGCGGUUAUGCUUUAUAUUAGCUUAACGCACAUUUGAAAAGACUUCCAAAUUGUUUGUUACAGAUACAGACAUACCUAUGUUUACGACAUGAAAUCGACUUAAUCAUCAUUGCAUUUCACGCUGAAAUAUUUAAAAAUGUAGUGAUGCACGUCUACUUACAUCACAGUAAAUGAUUGUGUUAUGAUAUAGUAGUCAUUCUUAUGUAUAUUUGACAAUAAUACAAAACCAAAAUUUAGCAAUAUUGUUUAGGCUUUACAUACAUAUUUACAAUACGAUUUUGUAAAAUCUUAUUUUUACGGUCAUAGAACACGUUUUCUAAGCGUGCUUUAGACGUUGAUGUUUAGUGGUAAGGAGAAUAAAUAUCCCAUGAAAAUGUAUGCUUCCAGUUUGCAUCAUAUAUUACACAAAAUAUUGAGUAUUGAAACCUGAGUGAUUUGUUCUUAAUUAUGUUAUAUUGUACAGUGUAGAUUGCAAAUAAUUGUUUUCGUACAAGUGGAAAAUGUGCCAAUCUUUAAAGAAUGCGGACAGUUUUGACAACUUCCUUUCUGAAACCGAAAGACGUUUAAGUAUCCUCCCUAUACAUACACUCACCAAGCGCUGAGUAGCUCGCACAGAGAGGCCAUCCUUUAAUGAUCAAGGACCUUAAAGAACAUAAAACCUACUAAAUUUUCUUGAAAAAUAGCACGACUGUACUUUUACUGCACUUCUACAUGAACUAAACUUGCUUCAAACAAUUCAAAAUAAUCUUCAAUUAGCAACUUUAAUUAGUGGAAUUAAAAACCGAUCCCGUUUAGGUUCUUAUCUAUUUCCACAAUUUAUGAAAAGUUCGAUUUUUAUAGGAAAAGAAUUCAGCUCGUAAGACUUUGUAAACUACGGAGUACAAUGUAUGUCAUACAAACGAAUGUUUUAUCUAUUCCGAUAUCAACUCUGUUAUCUUCAAUCGAAUUUUAUUAUUGAAAUAGGAAAUAAACAAUUUGAAAUCGCUAAGAACCUAUAAUUUCAUUACAGCACGUCUGAGGAUUGAUCAAAUAAUUCAAUAAAAUCCGACAACUAAAAGGGGGAAAAUCCUGUUCCGUGAAGGAAGUGAUUCGAACGCUUAGAUCAUCAGAAAUUACCCGUUAAUAAAAAAAAAGGGGACAAUUACUAAAAAUAAAUAUGUAAGAAAUAUCAUAUUUUUUAGACUUUAUACUUAUAUUUAAAAAAUAAAUACUUGAAAAAAAAAAGAAGAAAAAAAGUAAUAUAAACAUUUUUCAUUAUGUUAAUUUAUCGUUAAAUGAGUUUGUUGUUAAUUAUCCUUAAACUUUAAUGAUGCUGUUAAUUUAGCCAUGCUUCGUACUCCGUGGGUUAGCCUUACCUACUAUCGCCCGGAGGAGUGAGUUCAUUAAUACAUAAGGAUAUAACCUUACCACGAACCACGUUAGGGUACCCGAGGCCAACUAAGUUUGUUUGAUCUCUACCGCCAAUGAAUACAUCCGAUAUGAUUAAGAUGGAGUUUGAUACUUGUCACACAAUUUAUUUAAUUAGUGGCACGAUUCAUACCUUACACAAAUUGUUGUACGUUCUUUUAAAAUAUAAUAAUGAAAAUUACUUAAUUAAUAGAAUAAAGGGGUGCUGUACCUCCACAUAUAGAAUUUACCAUAUAUCUCGGCCUAGUUAUCUACACUUUAGACUAUAAACCACUGACGAGUCCUAAAGCAGGAAAUGCUUGUGUGGUGCAGUUAAUUUUUUCUCUCUCUAUUGCAUCUAACGCUUAAUUUGUAUUUAAACUGAUCAUCAUAUUACUUAGAUCGACUCUGAUACAAUAAAACAAUUGGCAUUGCCCAAUGUUUCUAACAGGUAUAUUUGUAUGGAUGUAAAUUUGUGGAUUUUCUUCAUCGUCAUUAUUGAACAGUAAGUCAUCCUACCUAUUCAUAAUCCAUUAAUUGUCUCUAUCAUUUACCUCUUCUUCCAUCAAAUCGCUCUUCAAUACUAUCAAACAUUACCCGUAAGCGUAAGUUUACUCAGUUCAUCUUGCCAGCAAUCUCCUCUUCAGGCAUGAUGUUCUUCUUUAGAUUACUCCCAAAAUAUGUCUUCAUGUUUUCCUUGAGCUUUGCUUUCCUCAUUCAACGUGAAGUUCUUUCUUCAUACAGUUUAAUAGCAAAGAUAAACUGGUACCAGUAUAAAUCACUCGAUGCAUGAAUGGAGGUACUUUUACCUACAAAAACUUAUCGUAGUAAACGUACAAAUCGAACUGUACAUAAACAUCCGAAAUAACCAGAAGAUAUAUUAUAUAAUCCGUGAUUGAGUUAUCACUAGACAUAUUCAAAGUUCGUCACAGUAUAACUGUGUAUUAGAUAGGAUAUAUAUGGUAUAUAGGACUACUCGGCGUUUUGAUAUCAACAGUGUGAAGUUUAUCGGCAAACGUGUGAAAUAUCAAGCAGAAUUUUGUUGGUGGCGGUUCAAUGGUUGGAACAUGAUUUGAUUAUCAUAAACAGACACACACAAACGGUUUCAAACUUUGAAGGAUCAAAAUCAGCGACCCUAUUCUACCAUUUCUUGUAUUCGUUUAAAGAAACAUAAGAACUUCUAUUGGCGCAUGGAACAGAAAGGAAUUCCAUUUAUGCUGUUAUAUUCAACAAGGCGGUGGAUUUGAAACUUGAAAUAGUGAUUUCAUUCUCAGUAUCAAGCCAGAGGAGCGAGGAAAAACAAAUGCCAUACUAAUGAGAAAGUAACUAUAAUACAUGUGUUAUAAUUUUAUCUGAUCGGAAAGAUAGGAUUAAACUAUAUACAAUAUUGUUUAUGUUUUACACGUCCUUCAGAAGGCAGGUAAAUACUAGAUGAACUUGGGAUAUGAAAACAAUACCUAAAAUUGCUUACAAUCGAAGUGCGGAGAACAUUUGAGGAUAAAUUCAUCUGUCAAAUCUACUAGUGCGAGACUGAAACAAACAGAGCAGGAAAUGGUCCCUCGUAAUCAGUUGUUGUUUAUUUUGACAUGCGCAUUACUGUGUUUGUUUGUUUCCGGUCAGUUUUCACCCACCCAGAUUAACCAGUUGGUUAAUAAGUUACAGUUAAUGAUUUCUGGGACAAGUGAAACAGUCCAGGAACAGAGACCUUUCCCUGUGGCGAUCGCCUCAGUUGUCGGGGUGGGCGUUGUCACUCUGACUUUGAUGUCGUUUGGUGGAGCUUUUGGUUAACUCAAACUGAUAUUCCGAGAACAAAUCAAUACUUUUCAUGAUAUUUUUUGUUUUGUCAAACGCUAUGAAUGUAUUGUUUUUCAAACAAUGUCUUUCCAAUGGUU